AGUAUGUGUGUUAGUGGAAGCGUCUGGAAAGGCGCGCGAUACAGGGUGACAGCCCCGUACACAAAAAUGCACAUAUUGUGAGCUCGAUGAGUAGGGCGGGACACGUGGUAUCCUGUCUGAAUAUGGGGGGACCAUCCUCCAAGGCUAAAUACUCCUGACUGACCGAUAGUGAACCAGUACCGUGAGGGAAAGGCGAAAAGAACCCCGGCGAGGGGAGUGAAAAAGAACCUGAAACCGUGUACGUACAAGCAGUGGGAGCACGCUUAGGCGUGUGACUGCGUACCUUUUGUAUAAUGGGUCAGCGACUUAUAUUCUGUAGCAAGGUUAACCGAAUAGGGGAGCCGAAGGGAAACCGAGUCUUAACUGGGCGUUAAGUUGCAGGGUAUAGACCCGAAACCCGGUGAUCUAGCCAUGGGCAGGUUGAAGGUUGGGUAACACUAACUGGAGGACCGAACCGACUAAUGUUGAAAAAUUAGCGGAUGACUUGUGGCUGGGGGUGAAAGGCCAAUCAAACCGGGAGAUAGCUGGUUCUCCCCGAAAGCUAUUUAGGUAGCGCCUCGUGAAUUCAUCUCCGGGGGUAGAGCACUGUUUCGGCAAGGGGGUCAUCCCGACUUACCAACCCGAUGCAAACUGCGAAUACCGGAGAAUGUUAUCACGGGAGACACACGGCGGGUGCUAACGUCCGUCGUGAAGAGGGAAACAACCCAGACCGCCAGCUAAGGUCCCAAAGUCAUGGUUAAGUGGGAAACGAUGUGGGAAGGCCCAGACAGCCAGGAUGUUGGCUUAGAAGCAGCCAUCAUUUAAAGAAAGCGUAAUAGCUCACUGGUCGAGUCGGCCUGCGCGGAAGAUGUAACGGGGCUAAACCAUGCACCGAAGCUGCGGCAGCGACGCUUAUGCGUUGUUGGGUAGGGGAGCGUUCUGUAAGCCUGUGAAGGUGUGCUGUGAGGCAUGCUGGAGGUAUCAGAAGUGCGAAUGCUGACAUAAGUAACGAUAAAGCGGGUGAAAAGCCCGCUCGCCGGAAGACCAAGGGUUCCUGUCCAACGUUAAUCGGGGCAGGGUGAGUCGACCCCUAAGGCGAGGCCGAAAGGCGUAGUCGAUGGGAAACAGGUUAAUAUUCCUGUACUUGGUGUUACUGCGAAGGGGGGACGGAGAAGGCUAUGUUGGCCGGGCGACGGUUGUCCCGGUUUAAGCGUGUAGGCUGGUUUUCCAGGCAAAUCCGGAAAAUCAAGGCUGAGGCGUGAUGACGAGGCACUACGGUG
rnacentral:rRNA from 1 species